AUCAGAUCAGAGCUCGGAAAAAAAAAUACAGGGCCGGGCCGGGGGAGAGGUAGCUGGCAUGGCAUGGCAUGUGCUUGCUGAGCAUGAAUUACAGGGUACGUCUCCUUUGGCACAGCAGAAUGCACACAUCAUCAGUCGAGAGAGUAAGCUCGCUGCGUGCUCGCCGGCCUGGGAGCGGAAGUCGCAGGCCAAAUGGCGGCGGUGCAGAUGCAUGAACAGCAGCUGCCGUAUAUAUGCGUGCCAAAGGAGAAUUGCCCUGCGAUUCUAGGCUCAGCGAUUUCGGCGUGGCGGUUCGUCCAGCUCCAGUGCGUAGACCCCAGUUGAUUAAGAGCCAAAGCCAAUGUCAGAUACAUGGUAUAUUUACAGUUUGAGGUGGGUUUGCGAUGCGAGUGCGACUAUAUGUUCAGCUGUGAGGAGAUAUUUGAUAACACAAUGCGGUCGACGACCUCCAUCAUCACCACCACCUCAUCCUUCUGCUCCACCUCAAGACAAUAGCCAUGGGUUUUAAGCUAUAUAAAACUGUAUGGUGGUGUUGAAGGGAAGGUCGUGGAACAAUUUUUCAAUUUACACCAUGUCAUAGAUACUACAUUUGAAACAUUCGGUGUAGCAUUAUUUGACAUCUUAGAUAAGUACAAUUUUAUCCAUCUAUAUGGUACAAGGGUAAGGAUAUGAUGGAGCUUCAAAUAUGAGGUGAAUUUAAUGUGUUGCUGAUUUUUUUUGAUAAAA